UACAGAGGUCCCAAGCGUUGUUCGGAUUCACUGGGCGUAAAGGGUGCGUAGGUGGUGAGGUAAGUCGGAUGUGAAAUCUCCGAGCUCAACUCGGAAAUGGCAUUGGAAACUACCUUGCUCGAGGGUUGGAGGGGGGACUGGAAUGCUUGGUGUAGCAGUGAAAUGCGUAGAUAUCAAGCGGAAUACCAGUGGCGAAGGCGAGUCCCUGGACAACUCCUGACAUUGAGGCACGAAAGCUAGGGGAGCAAACAGG
rnacentral:rRNA from 1 species